rnacentral:ncRNA from 2 species
AGGCUGACCGUCGCCCGCGGUGCCAGGAACCCGGUGAGAUUCCGGGGCGGUUCCGCCACUGUGACGCCGUCGCCCGUUCGACGGCGCAGCCAGAUACUGGCCGCGGGCCCGUCCGACCG